UUAUAAGAGACAGCAGCCGCCACGGUAAUACGGAGGGUGCAAGCGUUAAUCGGAAUUACUGGGCGUAAAGCGCACGCAGGCGGUUUGUUAAGUCAGAUGUGAAAUCCCCGAGCUUAACUUGGGAACUGCAUUUGAAACUGGCAAGCUAGAGUCUUGUAGAGGGGGGUAGAAUUCCAGGUGUAGCGGUGAAAUGCGUAGAGAUCUGGAGGAAUACCGGUGGCGAAGGCGGCCCCCUGGACAAAGACUGACGCUCAGGUGCGAAAGCGUGGGGAGCAAACAGGAUUAGAUACCCCUGUAGUCCCUGUCUCUUAUAC
rnacentral:rRNA from 1 species